AUGUAAAGUGCCUCAUUUACAUAGAUGCAAAGGCAUUUAAUUAAAUCAGUAAGAAAACUACAUCACAUACAUACAUACAUAAAUCCUAAACUUGUUUUAUCAGCUUUGACACAAUCUCAUUGUGUGGAUGAGCUGUGCAGUAAAACGUUAACAACUCUCAUGGUGUGGCCUUAAAUUGAUGAGUCUCAGCUCUGAGAAACUGUCUGUAAUGCCAAAUGUCUUGUGCCAAAUGUUUAAAAGUUUAAAUAUUAUAAAGAUGUUUUUUGGUCCACAAGGGUGCAGCUCUCAAUAGAUAGAUUGAUAUGAAUCGUCACUCACAGCAAAGAGUUCUGUUUAGCUUUUAAAUGCUCCUUUGUGAGUGUCUGUCGGCAUCUGGGGUUUAUUAUUUCUGUGCCAAUCUGCACUUAACCUACUGACAUUAAAAAACCAGAACAAUUGUGACAGUAAUUCAAAACACUAUUUGAUACAGGUCAGCGGCACAAGCAGGCUUUUAAAGCUGCACAGGGCAGGACAUUUACCAAAGUGGACAGUCUGCGAUCACAUUAUCACAACUUUCUCUGGAUGGAGCUGUUGGAACAGUUUUCCAUUUUGUAUGUUCCUUUUAAUGGUUUAAUUCAUUAUUUCCUGAAGAAAAUGAUCAACACAAAAUUGUCAUGUAUAGAAUUUUUUUUUUUUUUUUUAAAAGGUGGGAUGUCUGGCAUCUUAGGGCAGAAAGACAUGUUCUUGUCUGUGGCAACCCAUUUUGUGAUUUAUGCUGAUAAGAAAUGUGUUGUUUUAGAAAUGUAUCUUGCCUAGUGUUGUCUUAAGUACAGCGACUGAGAAGAAUCAUGAGGUAUUAUCUCACAUUAACUCAUUAUCGUUCUGCAGACAUGAUUUAAUAAAGUUUUAAUGUGAGGUAGAUCAUAGCUCGCAUGGUCUGGUUUUCACCAGUCUGCUAUCUUAACGUCAAUUAUCAUCCUAAUGCAUGAACUCAUGCAAUGUGUGAAAGCUAUUUGGUGUGCUCACAUUAAGAUUUUUUUGUGUCCCAAGAUGCCUCUGCAGUGAUGGAAGAUUAGGUAAUAGAUCUUAUUGCAGUAGAUAACUGCAAUAAGAUCCAUGGAUCACAUCAUGAAGUCAUUUACUUUGAAAUUCAAUCUUUCCCACUCUGAUGUUUUUCAAAAGAUCUUGUGGUUACGGUGACUCACUUUAGGUUAGGCACGAAUGGGAUAUACAAAAUAUGUUUCUGAAAUAUAUUAAUGUGAGUGGAAUGAUUUUCCAUCAACUGUUGAAGGGCCUGAUUAAAUGUGGUGCUGAAAGGUGCCAGGUCAUGAUGCCAUUGAAACUAUAACUAUUUUCCCCCCAAAAUUUUUUUGAAUAAUGUAAUACGCCAUUAUGCCAUUUUCCAUUUUCAGGGAGUCAUAUGACUUUGGGCUAAGAGUCCUUGGUAAAUUACAACACUAAAUCUAAAUCUUGAUAGGAUAUUUCUAGUCAGGUUCUUUUAGCUGUAAAUUUCACCUUCGAAAUUGUAAUAACCUGGGUAACUAAAUUUGUAAAAUAUGCUACCACACCCUGCAGUCACUGAGCUAAUGAGCCUGAGGUCUUUAUUGCUCUGAUUUGCUCAGGUCAAAUUGCAAGGGUAGGAUCCAGAAGUUAAACUAGAAUACCCAACAUGCAUUUCCCUUUCUCUGUCUAACAAUAGCAUUACCUCACUUUCAAAAUAUUCCCAUAAUGCCUUACCUCUGCAGAUCUCGUUAUUCAGAAAUACUUUAUUGAUCCCCGUAGGGAAACUCUUUAAACUCUUUAGACGGAGCUACAGCAACAGGCAGCAUGCGGGCUGGCGCACGCGCACUAUUUCUCACUCUCUCACUGUCAUUCCUCACUGGUUGCCAGAUUGAGUUUGUGAUUGAUUUCAGGUUUGUAAUUGCAGUGUGCUGCCCCCCUGUUGAACUAAAUUUCACGUCCACUGCCAAAUAGAAUUUAAUUGCUGGCUUUGUUUUCAGUUCGCACAUAUGUGACAGUAUAGCAUUAGCUUAAAAUGUCAUUCUUUUUUUUACAACACUGGAGUAUUUUUUACCAUACACUGUAAAUUAUGGAUAGUUUGAAAUGUAGAUAAAAAUAAGCAUUUUGUGUGUUUUUAAACAGAUAUUUCCUAGCCUGAAUGCUGUUGGAACAUAUUUGUAAUAUAUUACACAAUAACUUGAUUUAAUUCAAGUUUUUGAAUUAUUUUUGCCUCCUUUUGCUAUCCUUGAACAGUAUGAGUUUUUUCCCAGCGCCAUUACAGUCUAUUGUCUCCUCAUGGUCGUCUCACUGUCUCUAGUCACGACUUGAGGUUUUCACACAUGAGGAAGAUUCACACAAUGGUGGCACUGUGACACAUGUCCACUGGCUUCCUUUGAUAAAUCAUUGUGACAGACAGGUGCCACAAGUACAGAGUAAACACUGUCUGUGCCAUGCUGGCAGGUGGGGCAGUAAUCUCCAAGGAGGUCUUCUGGCAUGCUUAGUGUUAGCAACUGUCCAUUGCAGCUGUCUGUCAUACAGUAUCUAAACAGGGGAAAUUAACUGGUUCAAAUAAAUGAGAAAAUACAUCAGAGUCACUGACCUCUAGGCAGUUCUGCAUUUUCCUUACCCAUGUCAAACCUACUAUAAAGGGCAAGAAAGCUCUCUUGUAUAUGCUCAAGUUUCACUAGUAUGGAGCCAGAAUGUUGUAGAAUUUAGUGCCUCAUCGCACUAUCCUUGGCAUCUCUAUUUUACCAUUAGGAGCAUUAACGUGGGUGUGGACCAGCGACAGGUCAAGGACUCCCUAAUCUUGUUAAGUCUGUCUAUUAGACCCCUGGUCUGCAGCCUGUAGCCUAUAGCUGCCAUCCCUCACCCAUCUCUGGGUGGUCUGUUUAUUUUACCGGAAAGGAUGAUGUUCAACAUGAGUGAGAUGGAUGGGCAUAAAUCAGUUUUUCUCAUACAAAUGUGACACAGGAGUGUGAGAGUGCGGAGGCUGAAACGUGUUGUUUCAGCUCUGUGAUCUCUUUCUGUCAUCGGGUGAUUUGUAGUGGACUGGAGGGUAAAACUGUCAGUGGUGUUGUAAAAUAAAAAAAGUCUAAAGAUUGACACUGUGGAUGAUGGUUUGUUUAGUUUUCAGUAACAGUUUGGGGUUUGGGGCUGUCUCUGAUGGGAUAUUGGGAUAUUCCCAAUAUAAUGUGGCGAGUGACUGGAAAUGAAUUCACAUAUUCUUUAAAAUGGAGAGAACCUCAAUGGAACUGACAUUAUUUUAACACAGUUUCCCAGUUUACACUGCACAAGUUUAAGUUUGAAGGAUUAAGGGGGAUUUUAAAUCCAUACUGUUAAAAAAAGCAACUGUGUUUUACUAGUCUUGUGCUAAUGAUGUCAUGGCACCUCAAGCACACUUGUAAAACUUGGCUGCUACAUUUUCAUAAAGCAAAACGUGCUUGUUUAACUUCAGACAAAGUAACACAAGGCCUGUUUUUUGCAACACAGCAAAACUCUGUCCAGCUCUCUGACCAUCCAUCACUCAUUACACACAAACAAACUUUCCUGACAGACCAGAACCCAGAUGGAAUGAAACCUCUCCAUAUAAUUGUCUCUUAUGUUUAACAUUUACAGAAAUGGCAGGAUCUGAGUGACCGCCUUUUAUUGUUUUGUUUUGAUUGUAGACUUAAAUGUCAUGGUUUGAGGGUUUAUGUAUGUUAUUUCCUGUUUUAUUUUGAAAUAUUCUCCUUCCCUCAUGUGUCUUGUAGUUUUGCUUCCUGUCUUGGUUUGCCUUUCCCUCCAGUUUUGAUUGUCUGCCCUGUCCUGAUUAGUGCUCCUGUGUCUAGUUAUGUUUCACCUGUGUCUAGUUGUCCUUCCCUCAGUGAGUGUUUAGUCAAUGUGUGUGAAAUGUUCCAUUUUCAAAUGUCAGGUCUUCUGCGUUUGUUCCCCAGUCCUGUAUUUGUCCCUGUGAUCCAGCUUUACCCCUUUGUUACUUUCUGGAUUACUGGACUACUCUUUGCAUUAUUCUUUGUUGGACUCAGUUUUUUUACCUGGACUUCUCAGCCGCCUUUAGUUUUUUUGUGUUGCCUUGUCUGCUUCUGUUACCACCUUCACCCUGCUCCCUGUGUGAGGUGAGCACACUUCCUGACAGUGUGACCUGUGAACCCAUCACCCCCUCUCUGCCCUCUACCCUCCACUCGCUCACUCAGCAGGAGCCACAGGUAAAGCCUGGGUCCUGACUUCAUUGCACUCUUGAAGAUUUUCCCACCAUAUUGCUCUGAGUGACUGCUGCGGUCUGGAAAUGCUCUACCCCACCCCCCCAUCUCUUGGGACCCUGGAUGGAGGAAUGUGGCAGGCUUUGGAAGAAGAAGACAAGCCUGCAGCUCAACGCCCUUCUCCCACCUAACCCUCCCUGUCUGCUCGCCCUCUCCCAGUCACGCACAGCUAAUCCCAGGCAUCGAUCAAGCUGAAUAUAGAUGUCGUAACGGUUUUGAGUGAGUGUGUGGGAGUCUGUCCAGCCACAACAGCUUCUAUAAACUCAAGACACAUCGCCUCCUCUAUUCUACAGUUACAUGUCCUGGAAAUAUCCCUUUUUGUAUCUGUCUACAGGAUAUGUUUGGAUGCCUUGCACAGUGUUGACUGAGUGGGGUCUGUUUGUGGUAAGGGGUAGCAUGGACAGCCCAGCAUGUGAGUCCCUCAACGCCCCUACUCUGGGACUCGCAUGGUGGUUGAUCACCAUCAGGUCAACAACUGCAUUCAGUCAUUUUUGAAAAAUGUAAUACUGAACAAAAAUUGCAAAAAUGCUUAAUUGAACUGCCAUCAAGAGGAAUUUUCCUUCUUCUGCUGCCUCUGGCCAUGUCUCAGAUUUGUAAUGUCAAAGUACCUCUUUGACAUUACUCAGGUAUCAACUGGAUAAAAAGCGUACACCUCCUCCACCCCACCCCUCCCGCACUCACCCCAACAUUGAUUUUCAAAGUAGAAUAGAAGAUAGACACAAAACAAUGUGUAAUUAUUCUGUAAUACCUUUUUCUAUUUUAAAGUUUUUCAAUCUGGCCUGCCAUGAUAAUUAUACUAAUGUAAUUUUUUGGUGUUAUCAAAAUGCACUGUAUACAUUAUAGUUGGGUUGACUUUCUUUCAAACGUAGCUCCAGAAGUUAAGCAGAAGUUUAAAUUGUGAAAUUCUGUCAAUAUAUUGCAAAAAUAAACAUGCUAUUUUAUUUUUU